GGGCUACCAUGCAGUCGACGAUGAAGCCCAGCUUGCUGGGUGGAUUAGUGGCGAACGGGUGAGUAACACGUGAGUAACCUGCCCUUAACUCUGGGAUAAGCCUGGGAAACUGGGUCUAAUACCGGAUAGGAGCGUCCACCGCAUGGUGGGUGUUGGAAAGAUUUAUCGGUUUUGGAUGGACUCGCGGCCUAUCAGCUUGUUGGUGAGGUAAUGGCUCACCAAGGCGACGACGGGUAGCCGGCCUGAGAGGGUGACCGGCCACACUGGGACUGAGACACGGCCCAGACUCCUACGGGAGGCAGCAGUGGGGAAUAUUGGACAAUGGGCGGAAGCCUGAUCCAGCAACGCCGCGUGAGGGAUGACGGCCUUCGGGUUGUAAACCUCUUUCA
rnacentral:rRNA from 1 species